rnacentral:misc_RNA from 1 species
UCUCCGUUGGUGAACCAGCGGAGGGAUCAUUAUCGAGUUUAUAACUCCCAAACCCUAUGUGAACUUACCACUUGUUGCUUCGGCGCGCGCUUCGGCGCCGCCGAGGACACUUAAACUCUUUGUUUUUAUAAGCAUUUCUGAGUGGCCGAAAGGCAAAAUACAAAUGAAUCAAAACUUUCAACAACGGAUCUCUUGGUUCUGGCAUCGGUAAAGAACGCAGC